rnacentral:rRNA from 1 species
UACGUAGGUGGCAAGCGUUGUCCGGAAUUAUUGGGCGUAAAGCGCGCGCAGGCGGUUUCUUAAGUCUGAUGUGAAAGCCCCCGGCUCAACCGGGGAGGGUCAUUGGAAACUGGGAAACUUGAGUGCAGAAGAGGAAAGUGGAAUUCCAAGUGUAGCGGUGAAAUGCGUAGAGUUUUGGAGGAACACCAGUGGCGAAGGCGACUUUCUGGUCUGUAACUGACGCUGAGGCGCGAAAGCGUGGGGAGCAAACAGG